AGACCCAUAUUUUCAUCUUCAGUGGUCACAUCUUUUGGAACAUAAAAUAAGUAAAAAAAAAUUGAUAUUAUUUUUCACUUAUUAUAUGAUUUCCAAUUUCCCUGAAUCUAUUAAAGGAUACUCCCCCCCCACCCCUGUAAUCACAUCAUCACAAUUCUCAUUACCUUCUCAUGGAUACUUUGCUAAUCUAGUAAGUAUUCCCAAGGAGCCUUCACAAGUACUAAAAGAAUCUGACAAAUGAUUGUUUUAUCACACACCCACAAAUCACUGAUAGUUUUCUAUUCCCAUAUACAUUUAACUAGGUAUUUUUGAGGUCAUGUUUUCAAAUUGUCCAAAAUAACUAGAUUUUUGCCCAAAGAAGGAAUAAAUUCAAUGAAAUAAGAAAAAAAGAGUAAAACUUCUUGUAUAGAAUGGGUUGCAUUCUAAAAGGAAAAUGAGGAUCAAUGUAGAUAAAAAUAUUUACCCAAGAAGCCCAGCUGGAGAUAAAUUGACCACUUCUCUUUUUAGAGGUGUUAUCUAUGGUAAUUAUCUAGUUCAGAGCUGCCCGACAUGUACAGAACCCAUAAUGACUAUAGCAUAAAUAGAUGGAUAGAUUGAAUGUAUAAAUGAAUGAAUGAAUAUUAAGAAAAUCUUGCUGCCUCUAAACCCGCUUCCUGCUGAGCUGUAAAGAACAUACCUUUUUUUUUUUUUUUUCCUGUUUACUGACUUAGUUGGUUACAAUGCCUACACACCCAGAUGUAUCUUGUAAAUGUUUGCAUCUACUCAUGAUAAGGUAUUGGGGGGAAUUAAUUUGAAGUGGUACUAGCAGUGUGGCCAGUGAGUCCUGAGAAGGCUGACCACAUGGAAGAGCCAGAAAAGGAAAUGAUUUCCAGCCCAGCCAUCAAGAUUUCUCUGCCAAAGUUUUCUAUGCUACCCUCAUGACAUGGAAGUAUGAGGUUAAGCUUAUAAAUACAACAAUGGGCAUAGAGGAGAAAAAUGAAGAUCAUUUUUAGAACUGCAUAGACUUUAACAAAAUCAAUAUUGAAAACAAGGAGGCUUGAAAAUAUUCCAUAGGACACAAAUAAAUGCAAUAUUAAGACUGAAAUGGAGGCCUGAGAUGAAUCCCAAUGCACUGCCUUAGAGUGGGGACUUGGUUUACAAUCUGAGCCAAUGCAUAUUUUCAUUAAAAUUCAAAUAAAAUUUCAUUUGAAGACCCAAGGCUCAAAUUACUUAUUCUUCUGGAACUCCCUGCUCAUCAUUAUUUAAACAUUAGUGUUUAAUUUUUUAGUGAGAGAAAAUGAAUUAGACAUUUCAACUCCUCAAUGGAGAAAAACUUGUACGUUUUAAGGGGAUCUAAUGUUGAACAAUCUAAAUCAUCAUUAUCAUCAUCUUCAGUAUUAUCAUUGGUAUUGACCAGGUUUUACUGUGUGACUGAGAUGUUUAAAGUCCUUACUUGAGCCAUACCAUUGAAUCUUCCCAAAGCUGAAAGAGGUGAAUGUUAUCAUUCCUAUUUUAAGAUGAGAAAUCUGAGGCUUAAGGAAAUUAAAAAAAUUUUAUAGGCCACAAAACUCUCUACUUUGUGUUUGUGUGCCAGAGGCCAGCUCCGGCGUCCAGGGAGUGUACACUUUCCUGAUAGAAGAAGGAUGCACAUCUGCUUUUGCAGUGGAGACAGCCUCUUUGUCCCUUCUUUCAUGGUGCUGGACUGCUCAAAUUUUAUUGGCAUAAGUGGUUGAUUAUAUAGACAGUUUUUCUUUACAGAUUACAUCAUAUUGUUAAAAGUACGUUGGUCAACUAUUAGCUUGGUUUUUUGAUCACAUGGUACACUAGUGAUACAUCACAUUUUAAAAUCUUCAACUUAACUAAAUUUAAUGAGUACAAUUCAAGGACAAACAGGCACAGUACAUCGUGUGGGAAAGAGGAGACCCAGCACAAACCAUCUCAUGGCCAGCCAAUUCCCACAAGCUGAAGAAGUUGCAGACACGAAAAAUCCUGUCUUCAGACUAGUGUCUAUCUUCAAAGUGUCCUUGGCAGGGAAACAGUAUGAGAAAAUACAAAUCAACUUAGCCAGCUACCACUAAAAGUUUCUAAAAUCAAGGACAAGACUCACAGCUGGGUUUCUUUUGAUCAAGAAUAAUAUAUGUCUAACUUCUAUAAACCUCAUUAAAAUCCUAACUCUAAAGUUUACUGUAUAACUAGUUAGUAGAUAAACACUAUGUUCUAAUUAAGUUGGAUUUGAAUAGGGGAAAAUCUUUUAGGAUGAAAUUCUUAUUAUUGUUGUGACUUUGUUAAAUCACAAAUCACCACAGGAAAAUGAGAAUGGGAAAUAAGAUUAAUAAGUAAAUAAUCAGGAAAGACUGAGGAAAACUGAAUAACAAGUGAAUAACAGAAAAGACUAAGACAUCCAUGGAACAAUCCCCACUCAGCAACACAAAAUAGAAAUUAUUUCCUGGGAAAUUUAGUUUUCCACCUAUGUCAGCGGACGAGACUUAGGUCUUCUGGGGCCUGUCCUCAGAAUUGUGCCGUGCAGGCAGGCAUCCCCUUGUUUAGGAACCUGCCCUCGGAAUUGUACCAUGCAGACAGGCCCCUUUUCCUGAUUAGGAGCUUGCCCUUGGAACUGCACCGUUCAGGCAAGCGCCUUUUUCUGAUUAGGAGCCUGCCCUUGGAAUUGAACCAUUCGGCAAGCUCCCUUCCUUGGCUCCUUGUAUCUUCUCGGCUCCCCGCAUUUGUACUGUUUGGGUCAGGAUUAAACCUGGGAGGGAGGGAUGUAUGUGAGAAGCUCAGAUGAGCUGGAAACAGCUAGCUGCCAAAUGCUAGAGAAACCCAUUAAAGCAACAAGCCAAAAUGGAACCAAUAGUCAAGACUAAUCAUUUGCUGUGAUAGUAAAAGCAAGAUGCUAAACUAUAGAAAGUACUAACUCUCCUCUGUUCCAUUUCCCCCCAAGGAACAGCACAGUGGCAAAGGGGCUGGUGGAUCAGCACAGAUGCUGAGUUCAUCUCACAGUUGAAGAAACCUGGAACAGUAAUUUUAUGGUCCCUGGGGCUAGGUGCAGAGCAAGGGGAAAGAGGUGGGAUUGGAAAAGUACUUAAUACUGAUUCAAAGCAAGGUGAAGCAUCUUUAAGUUCCCCUCUACCUUCUCUUCCUUAAGGAGGCUUUAGCAGAGGAAAUUGAAGAAGGUUUUCUUUGUUUUGUUUUGUUUUUUCCCCCUCCUUUUAUAGCUGCACCAGUUGCAUGUGGAAGUUUCUAUGCUAGGGGUCAAAUCAGAACUGAAGCUUCGGCCUAUGCCACAGCCAUGGCAAUUCCAGAUUUGAGCUGCAUCUGUGACUUACACCACAGCUUGAAGCAAUACCAGAUCCCUAACCCAUUGAGCAAGACCAGCGAUCGAAUCCACAGCCUUGUAGAGACAAUGUCAGGUCCUGACCCCACUGAGCCACAUUGGGAACUCCAAGAAGGCAUUUUGCCUGAUACUCUAGACAAGGCACUUUUGGAAUACAGGCCACUAGAGCCUUAGUCUUUGACAAUAACUCCCUUUAGAGGCUGUCAUGCAUUGGUUGCAUACUCAGUCUGGUGUGGGGAGGCCAGAUUUUCCCUGUGAGGCCUGCAGGUGGACCCUUUGUAAUUGCCCAGGGUGGGGCCUUAAAAAUCACAUGUAGGUUUUUAGCCUGGGCUGGAUGUCUCAGCAUGCAAAACUGCUCUGGAGAGAAGGUCAAUCGCACAUGUUCUUUUCCUCUCCUGUGGUGAUUCUGAUGUGACCUGAUUCACAUAGAAUCAGUGAUUCUGAGUCUAUUUGGAAAAAACACACUGUGUGUUGUGACUGAUAGAAUUAUGAUCUCCAGCAUGUUGAGUUAGGGAAAAAAAAAAAAAAGAUGAAAUUACUAACCUACGUUUCUGACUAAACAUUGAAAAUGACGGUGGAGUUAAAACUCAUCAAUUCACAAGAUAAAAAACGAGUGGAAGGGAAGAAUAAUACUGAAUAGGAGUGAGCACAUAAUUGGAGACAGAAACUAUGAGGAUGUGGAUUUGAUCCUUGGCCUUGCUCAGUAGGCCUGGGGAUCCGGCAUUGCCAUGAGCUGUGGUGUAAGCUGCAGACAUGGCUCAGAUCCCAUAUUAUUGUGGCUGUGCCCUAGGCCAGCAACUGCAGCUCUGAUUUGACCCCCAGCCUGGGAACUUCCAUAUGCCUCAAGUGUGGACCUAAAAAGCAAAAACCAACCAAACAAAAACAAAAAAAUUGGAAAUUAAUUCAUGGCUCCAGAAAAAUUAGAAAAGGACACAGAAGCAUAGUACCUUUGGCUCAGUAGGAAAUGAUACUUAGUCAUGCUAAGGUAAACUUUGAUAAUGGAUUUAAUCUUAAACGGUGACAUCACUACACAGCAGAAGCUUGGGGAGCAAGUUGAAUAAGUUAAAUCCUCAUGAACGUAACCAGAAGUCAAAUUUAUGUUUAAAAUUAAGAAUGUUUAAAAUUAAGAAAUCAAAACACGAGAAUAUAAUUAUAUUUAUUUGGAAAUAAAAUUUAGAAGUGAAAUAAGGGCAGAAACACAUUAGAAUAAAAAAUUACCUCUGUUAUCCUGCAGCAGUGUUCAGAUAUAUGGAGAACUUCUGGGAAGAAAAGCUGGUUUUCUCUAUAAGACAUUUACUAUAUAAGAUCCAAACUGUAAAAUAGUGUCUAUGGUAAUCACUAUCAUGAAUUAAUCUCAUCAAUUUCUUUUACUUGUAAAAGAGCUAAAGUGAAUAUCAACUUCAUGUUUAAGUUGUGGUCACCAAAACGUAAUUUUUUGAAUAUAAUCAGUUGGUUGCUUGUCUUUUGGUCCUGGAUGUCUCAAUGUUUUCACGCUUCUGGAUGAAUGAAAACUAUGAAGACUUAUUAUCAUAAUUUUAUCACUUCCUAUUGUUUUUUCACAUAGAUCUUUCUGAUUCCUUCAUAGUCUACAGUUUUUCUGCAUUUUUUCACAGCUCAUAUAUAUAUUUUUAAAAUUAGGAUGUGUUUAUGGUAUUCCUCCAUAUAGACAUUAAGUUUCUUAAAGAACACUGUCAUGGAUUAAUUUUAUUAUAUUUUUUCCUCCCCACUAGGACUUACUACUCUGUAUUUUUCAUAA
rnacentral:lncRNA from 1 species